rnacentral:rRNA from 1 species
ACUCCUACGGGAGGCAGCAGUGGGGAAUAUUGGACAAUGGGGGGAACCCUGAUCCAGCCAUGCCGCGUGUGUGAAGAAGGCCUUAUGGUUGUAAAGCACUUUAAGCGAGGAGGAGGCUACUGAGACCAUACUCUUUGGAUAGUGGACGUUACUCGCAGAAUAAGCACCGGCUAACUCUGUGCCAGCAGCCGCGGUAAUACAGAGGGUGCGAGCGUUAAUCGGAUUUACUGGGCGUAAAGCGUGCGUAGGCGGCCAUUUAAGUCAAAUGUGAAAUCCCCGAGCUUAACUUGGGAAUUGCAUUCGAUACUGGAUGGCUAGAGUAUGGGAGAGGAUGGUAGAAUUCCAGGUGUAGCGGUGAAAUGCGUAGAGAUCUGGAGGAAUACCGAUGGCGAAGGCAGCCAUCUGGCUAAUACUGACGCUGAGGUACGAAAGCAUGGGGAGCAAACAGGAUUAGAUACCCUGGUAGGCUCUG